CCUGAUGGAGGGGGAUAACUACUGGAAACGGUAGCUAAUACCGCAUAACGUCGCAAGACCAAAGAGGGGGACCUUCGGGCCUCUUGCCAUCGGAUGUGCCCAGAUGGGAUUAGCUAGUAGGUGGGGUAAAGGCUCACCUAGGCGACGAUCCCUAGCUGGUCUGAGAGGAUGACCAGCCACACUGGAACUGAGACACGGUCCAGACUCCUACGGGAGGCAGCAGUGGGGAAUAUUGCACAAUGGGCGCAAGCCUGAUGCAGCCAUGCCGCGUGUAUGAAGAAGGCCUUCGGGUUGUAAAGUACUUUCAGCGGGGAGGAAGGGAGUAAAGUUAAUACCUUUGCUCAUUGACGUUACCCGCAGAAGAAGCACCGGCUAACUCCGUGCCAGCAGCCGCGGUAAUACGGAGGGUGCAAGCGUUAAUCGGAAUUACUGGGCGUAAAGCGCACGCAGGCGGUUUGUUAAGUCAGAUGUGAAAUCCCCGGGCUCAACCUGGGA
rnacentral:rRNA from 1 species